rnacentral:lncRNA from 1 species
CCUAAAAAGGUCCAGCUCCCCAUCAGGUCCUUCAUUUGUUGUUCCCGAUGGUCUCGCUCCCAUUGCAGCAACGUCGGAAGGCACGUUCAGGUGCAGUCGAGCAUACAGUACAUGUACUUUUUCAUGUAAUGUAUUACAAUACACUUGCAGGCUGUCAAGGGCCGCAGUAAGCUCAGCCACACGAGCUCGAGCUUUUGCUUCGCGGUCCCAAGCAAUCGAACGCGAGUUCACGGCCCAAUCAAUGGCUGAAUCCCGUUCUAAAAUCUCAUAUUGCAAGCGGCUGAUGUCAGCUGACAAUUCAGCUAUACGCUGGCUGUCCUGCUCCCGUGCCCUAUUUCUGUGGCGUAGUUCUGACCGGAGUUGCUCCACCCUGGCUUCCAGGUCUCCAAUUGGGUCAUUGCUACCACUACUACUUCCUUCAUGUCUGGGGGCUAGCUGAUGACGAGGCACGCCAAAAGGUCCAGUAGACUUGCGUGCUGUUUUCCUUGUACGUGCCAUGUCUCCAUAAGAGGGGAAGAUUUACUAGUAUAUUCUUAACAUGAUGCAUGCA